rnacentral:sRNA from 1 species
GGGAGGGAGGGAGGGAAGGAAGGAAGAAAGGCAGGCAGGCAGGCAGGCUAUGUGUCAUAUCCCACCUUUGGUCUUAUCACUUCAAUGCUCUCCUGAAGGUUGUCAUUUCAGAUCACAGGACAAGGGACUAAGGUAGUAGAGCUGCUGGUACACUAACCUGUUCCCUAACAAGAUGGCUCCCUGGAAAAAGUUGCCUGUCAUUAGCAGAUAGGGAGCUAUGGUGGGGGGGGGGGUGCUAAACUUACAACACUACCCUGCCAAAUACUGUCCACCAUUUAAAAUAACACAUUCUUGCAGCCUCCAAUAGAAUGCAUCCCAAUUCUUAACCAUGGCCCAACUGCAUGAGAGCAAUCAAAUCCUUUAGAGGAUCUUCCCAGGCUUCCACACGCCCCUUUUAAUAGGGAGCUGGAAGCACAAACUGCUAAUGUGCAGGCGGGUGAAGCCCAAGGCACUCCAUCCUCCCCCGGUGUCAGCUGUCUAGGGCUCGUGAGCAAACCACAGACCUGUGUGCCUGAACAGGGCAGGGUAAGAGUCUGUACAUGGCCAAGACUUCAGUUCCAGGUUCCCCAGGGCUGGACUUGCAGUUUUCCUAUUAUGAAAUACUCAGAUAGCGUGCUUUAAAGUUCAUUUAAGCUGCUCUAGAUUGGCUGUGGUACUCCCACACAGGAAAGGCAACUGAAGCUUACUCAGUCUGAGGAUAACCAUUUAAAUGACUCUAAAGCUAGACAUGCAACUUUGUUGUGACUCUAGGGAGAGAGCAGAGUGCCAGAAAGCUAGGAUGUCCAGUGGGCGCUGUGAGCUAGAAGGCUUCAUGUUCACAGCCAGCUGUGCCCAGGAAGGACAACCCAUCCGGAGCUCCACAGGCCAGGAGGAACUGGAGCACAGAUAAUUUAUGAACUUCCAAUAGUAUCCUCAACUCUUCCCUCUCAGACCAGGAUUUGUUUCUGACCUAACUAUGUGAAUAGAUUUGGCUAGUGUUUGGUUAAUUCAUACUCUGCAAACCAAAUAAUGGAAUCUCUGUGAGGCUGCAACUCAGGCAGAGGAGAAAGCUGAGAGUAGUUCCUACUCAGCUUCCCUUGGCUUCGACUCCCUCUUCUAAGACAGGGAAGAACCACUUUGAAUUAGAGGGGCAGAAAUUCCAUACCAGGAGGGCAGAUUAUUAAGCCAUCAAGAGAUUGUCCACACGCUUUAAACUCACUUGCUGUUGGGCAUCUGCGGUGGUUAAUUGUGAUUGCCACCUUGUUGGGACUUGGAAUCAUGGAAGGAACACGCCUCUGGGUAUGUCUCUGAGGGACUGUCUCUAUUAAGUUAAUUGAAGAUGGAAGACCUACCCUAAAUAGAGGUGGCAGCACUUCUAGGUCCGCCCAGGAGAACUGAGCACCAGGAAUCUCUCUGCUUCCUGAGCGCAGAUGUACUAGAGGCACCGAACUCCCGCUCUGCUUCCCUGGCUUCCCUGGGACUGGACCCUUGAACCAUGCGCCGAAAUAAACUCUUCCUUCCUUUUCAGUCAGGUAUUUUGCCUCAGCAACGAGACAAGUAGCCCAUAUAGUAUCCACUUGUUCUAUGAAGUAGGAAAGAAACACCGGGUUUACCUUUCCAGCCCUUAGAAGGGAUCCACAGAACAAGAGUAAGACCAGGUAAGACCAGGCAGAACACUUGAGCUAAUGUCAAGUAGUGCUUGAUACACAUGACAGCAUAUAUAAAAUGCCAAAACCAGACCUGUCAGAAAAUGUCACACACCACGAAGUCUGAAUCCUUUAGCACAAAGACUCAGUAUGAGAUUGGUAAGAACCUGGAGGCAGCUGUUUAAUUCCCAACUACUACUGUGAUGGAGGAACAGCGUGGACCUGGGGUCUACCAUGUGACUCGGAAUACACUGACUUCAGCAGCGAAUGCAGGCAGAGAGUGCUUUUGUCUACCGAGCCCACCAAACUGCUUGGGCAACACUCGAAUUCACAUCAUCACUAUGAAAAUUUUGUAAUCCUGCCUCAUGUUUCCUAGAGAUUCGUAUCUGAACCGGAGAGAACAAUAUCCUCUUACUGCCACACCCCACAAGAUUCUCACCCCCUUUCUACCAAUGUCUUAACACUGAGUUACAUAAGGACUUCUUAUACCGUCUAAUACUGUGCUAUCCUGAAGAACACACAGGCCCACACUGCUUUAGGUACCCAAAAGAUUGGCACUUGUCACUGCUAAUGACAUCCUAAAAACUGGAACACCCCCCCAAUCACUAUUGAUAAAAUAUUUAAGGGUCAGAUACUUCAAAAGUAAGUAUUCUUGGUGACCACUCCUGGGCCUGGAAAAGCGGUGGAAGACAGCAGUUAGCAGCAUCAGGCCAGCAAGAGCCUGCGAGUUCAACACUUCCCAACAGAGACCAUCUCAAUCACAGGUCACAGAAGGACAAUUGUGACUCUUUAAGGAUGUUAACUGUACCCCCAAGCUUCAUUAUACCAAGAUGACUCCUUGGCAGAAAAAAUCCCGACUAUUUUAAUCUUCCAGCUGUUUGUGGCACCACAAGCCACAGGGGAUAAGCACCUCUCUUGGAACCUCUAUUACACAACCCCUUUGCUGUAGCUUCACAACCAUCUAAACACCUAGCCCCCAAGGGCUAAGUCCCCAAAACAAUGCAAGAAAAGGCAUUUUAUAAUUAGCAAUGGCAUCACUAGUAACAAUGAUACCUUAUAUUCAGGAAAAAGCCUCUUGGGAGAGCAACUCCCCGUGUCCCUCUGGGGAAUCUAGUAUUUUAGGACAGCCAUGGUCCUAUCAUCUCUCACUGACUUGUUGAGAAAACUAAAAGGUAAUGAGAAAAAUUCAAAACAGGAGCUAUGCCUCACGUGGUUUCUAUUUAAUUUUUAAAAUAUGUUCUCUGUAGUCCAAGUGGUUAGGUAGAGGGUAGAGGGCCAUAAGGAAGAGGGGGAGCAAAUUUGCUUAACUGUUGAGCUUUUAUGUAAAUUCAAAUGAGCUGUGUCUAGUGAACACAUGUCACCUGACAACCAUGGGGGUGGGGGACCUGUACCCACACGUGCUGAUCUACCACAAAGACUGGGAACUGACUAGAAACAGAUGGUUCCUUUGCUCCUAAAAUAUGAGUAGGGACACAGGAUUGUUACCUUACCCUACCUUAGGGUUAUCUGAGGAAGUAUACAUUACACACACUUGAUUUUUACACUGGAGUAAGAGUCAGGUGUAUUGUUCAGGACAAGGAGGGAUAAACUUUUUAUACAAUGACUCAACUCUGCCACUGACAGCAUGAAAACAGACAUAGCCAAUAUCUAGAGAGUGUGGCUGUGUUCCAAUAAAACUUUAUUUACAAAAACAGGCUCAGGGCCAGACUUAACCUACAGGCUAUAAUUACCAGCUCCUGGUUUAAGAAGGUUCUGGUGGAGUAUAGUAGUUCCCAGGCAGCAUCUGGUUUCCCAGGUUUGGAGAAAUAAUUAGCAUAGUUUAAUUAAGUGUUAUCUUCACGGGGCAGGACACGUGGCUCUUCCGUAGUGUUUGUGUAGCAUGCCCAAAGUCCUGGGUUCGAUCCCAAGCACCACAAAAUAAACAACAAAACUACUGUUUUCAUUCUAGGAAAAUGGAGAAGGAAGUUCUCAGGAUAGGUAAGACUGGAGCCCUGAAAAAUUUAAUUCCUACUGCUCUUUUAUCUAUCAUUAUGGGUUCUGGAAGAACACAAAAGCCUCAAACUGGCUUCAAACACACACACACACACACACACACACACACAAAAUUUCAUUUAAUUCAAGGGGCAACUGCAGUAAGAAAUAUACCUUGGGUUUCAAUUACUCACCAGUGGCUCAUGGUUUUCUUAGAGUUGGCCCUCAUUUUUCUCUCAGCUUUCUCAGCUCCAGCUCAUAAAAAAAAAAAAAUGAAGCCAUUCCUCGCUUUAUGAAGACAUCCCUUCUGGAUGAACGGUCACAGAAGGUAAACCCGCUCUUUGCACCAUAACCCUUUAAACGAGGCCUAAUCUAUCUUGUCAAGAACACAGCAGGGUGUGUGGUGCAAGAUAACUGCACAGGCAGAGUAUUACAUCUUUUGGGAUGGGAAACAGUGACGGCACUUAAUUGUUCCUGAAACCCAGUCCCAGCUCCCAGGCCUUUUUAAACAGUUGUGUUUCUGAGCCCUGUUUGGAGAGCUUGUUCUAAAGAUGACAGAAUCAAAACUCAAGAGGCCCUGAAGUUCUGAAACCUGCAGCACUGGUUUCAGAGCAGUCUGGGUUUGCUCUUUGAAGCCUGAAAAGGCAGUGGGCUCUCCCCAACAGUGCUCUUACAGUACGUCAGUGCUGGGAACAGCACACACUUUCACAGCACCUUUCCUGUGCCAGGCGCUCAUGUAAGCUCUUCAUGAACUCAUUUAAUUCUUAUGAUAUAUUGUCCACAUAGUAAGAAAGGGAGUCCAGAAACUUCCUCAAGAGUAUUCACCAGCUAGGAAGUGGAAAAGCCUGUAUUUAAAACCCAGACUACAAACAUCUGUGAGAGUAAAAAAUGUCCCUGUUACCUGCCCUAAUGGCCUAGGGGGAAACACUCCUGCACACUUCCCAAGGCACAGAAGGAAUAGAAACAACCGGAAGAUACAGGAACAUGAGUGAGGUUGGCCUGCACAAUAGGUCCCAAGUCAAAGACCAAGUACAUCCCCCACCUUCCUUUAAUGCUUAGCCACAAAGACGAAGAGGCUCAAGCUACUGUUUUGUCUCUCUCCCUCCAUUCCUACUGAAAGCAUAAAGAUAAUCCCACCUCAUAGGCAAUGUCUUCUUAAUACCUCCUGGAUAGUAACAGAUGGAGAAACAACCAAAUACAUAAUGCAGGAAUCCAUUCAAUCUGCCCUAAGUCACCUGACAAGUUACACAGAACUCUGGUUUCCUGUUUUCAUCAGUAUCUUUAGAGACCCCGACCCUGCAAAAGGAGAAGGCCAUGUAAUGAAACCCAAGCAUGCAAGCCUAUACAUUCCUCCCUUCUGCACAGCCCCCACCAUCGCUUUCCCUUUUAAUGUAGGGAUCACAAAACUGCUCUUAAAAUGACUGCUAAAUGAUUUCUAACCACUGCACGGGCAAGGCUUCUGUCGAUUUCUACCGAAAGGGAUGAGGGUUCUGGUGCUUGUUGCUCUAGCUCCCCUGGGUUUCAAGGAAGCCCAAACAAAACCAACAGGUUUGUAAGUCUUGUGGUUUCUUUAUAGUUGAUGAUAGGCAUGAGUUUGUCUGGGCAAUGCCUUCUUCUACACCACCACUUUGACUACUUGGUCACCAUCUUGCUACCAGAUUUGACCAAGUUCUGCGUUCCAGAAUGUGAUACUUGCACAGACAGUGAGGUCCAAAUAGACUUGGCUUCCUACCUCAAAGAUCUGAUGAAUCCCAUUCCUAUCUAGCAAGACUCUUGUAACAGAAUACUUUCAGGAAGAGGAUAUACGACAUCCAAGCUUAGUUAGUAAUCUGCAUAAAGUGCAAGAGACUGGGGUAGAGAGUGUCACAUUAAGAUGGCAGGAACUGGGGUUGGGGAUUUAGCUCAGCGGUAGCGAGCGCAAGGCCCUGGGUUCGGUCCCCAGCUCCGAAAAAAAGAAAAAAGAAAAAGAAGAAGAAGAAAAAAAAAAAAAGAUGGCAGGGACCACAUAACUUCUGUACAUUUGGUACAAACUUCAGCUUAGGAAGUGUGCAACGAUCCUUUCACAUCUGGUGUGAAUCAAAUGCAAACUUCACUUUAACUUGCUGCCAACGUCCUUAUGCAAGUAGGUUCCCUUUCCGUUCCAAAGCGCCUGCAUUUGUGGGUCCCAUCACAGCCUUGAGUGUGAAAGCAAGGUUAAAUUUGCUCCACCCUAGUUUCCCCACACCCACCACAUCAAGCUGCUAUUAAGAAACUGCUAGGACACUUUUCAGAAAGUGGGGUAUUUGCCUCAGCAUACUUGAUUGUAAGCACUCCAUUGCCACGUUGGCUGGGAAUGCUCAUGGCAAAAUACCUUCGGAAGAGGCAAGAAGUAGUGUGUAAACUGCCCAACUCCUUCCUGUACAAAAACACACAAGCACAGAAUGAUUGGAAAGAGACAGCCAUAUUAAGCAGAUCAGAGAUAUGGGAACAUACAACUUCUGGGCUACACUGAGAGGAAUGUAGAAAACCGGUAACAGAGGUGCGUUUGCACCGCAGUAAAAGCCGUUAAACUAACUUAUUCCAACGGGCUGAGUUCAAAUCAUCUCCUGGAAGAAGCAUAAUGGAAAGCGCACGUGAAGUGGUGGAGAAAGGAACUCGAGAGCCAUAGAGAGGGACGCUGGGGCCAAACUCAAGCUGGAGAAGUAACACAUGGCUCCACCCGGCUCUCUUCCAUGCCCCUCCCCCUCACUGAGCAGGCGUCCAGCGCCCACCGGUUUUGGCUCCUAGCGAAGCCCUCGACUCCGGGCGCCCACAACACUCCAUGCACGCACUCUAGCACUUCUCACACCUCCUAGGCGGACAUUCGGACCACUUUUCGGUUACGCCCCCCAAAGCUAGCUUCCAUCUGCCAGGUCCCUCUCCUCAGGUCCCGGCCCAGACACCCGGCACCCCGUCCCGGAGUUGCACCUCAGGUCCUUAAGGCUGCCGAUUGGUCUUUCCAGUAGAGGGCUGGUUCUUCAGCACUGCCAAUGAGAGGGCUCAAAGAGGAGGAUCGUCACACCCAGUCCCAGCUCAGUUGCUCUCUGACCUACAAGGCAAAGACCAGAUGGUCCCCAAAGAGAAUACUGGCAAGUUGUAAAAAUUAUAUGCUCUAUAUUAUGAAGGCAUUUUCAGGAGAAAAGAAAAAGCAGUGUCUAAAAUACUAUUAAAACUUACUGCCUCUCAAAAAAAAUUGACUACCCUUGCUAAUUUGUUCUAUAUAUGGAAAAGAAACAGAGUCAAUCAACGCUGGACUGUCUGUGAGAAGGGACCAUCCAAGUAAUUGGAUAAUUCCCUCUAGAUUUAUAUUUAGUUAUGAAUUCUAAUUUUGACCUUGCUACCGAUUUGUCUUUCUAUUUCAGUCUUUACCGAGUUUAGUGUUUAAAAAAAAAAGGUAUUCCCUUGAAGCCAUACUUACUAAUCAGAGGAAAGGAAGUAAACUGGGUGUGUGCUGCGAGAGUACCAAGGGAUCAAAUAAUGAAAGUAGAUAAUGCUCAAAGUGGGAGUUCAAGAGUUGGUCGAAUAUGAAAGCCAACCAAUGAGUGCAGCACAAAUGGAGGCAACGGAACAUUUUGUGAAAAGAUUUUCUUUGCAAAAACUCUACUUUCAUGUUUGAAGAUUCGCCGUAGUGGAAGAAAAAAGUACUCCUUUUCCAUGAGGAGGACAAUCUCACUAAAUGCCUUAUAGGGAUGAAUAAAGCCUGAUGGCUGGAAUUAAAACUCAGCCAGUCUCAAAUUAGCUCCACUUUAAAAGGUGCAUCUGAUGGUCUGGGAUGGAGGUCAGUGGAGCAAGACUUAACUGGCAUGCUCGAACCUCUAGGUUUGAGUUCCGGGUAUAGAGGUAGGUGAGGAACACAGAAUGUAGUCUCAAUUUCAAUUAGCUCAACAUGCUCGCAUACUUCAGAUCUCUGCCCUUUAUCAAGACUGAUUCCACCCCUGUGUCUCACACGCUCACUGAGGAAAUCGGCAGCAAUAGCACCCAAUAUUCAAUGAAUCCCUUUCUGCAUGCCAGAUAUGUAUCAAGUACUUUGCAGACAAGUUCAUUUAGGGCUCAUGACUGAAACUGAGAGGCUGCUACUAUGUCCUUUUUUUCCCCCCGAGUCUUUGGAAAGAAGCAUCGUUCUCAGGGCUACCCUGCAGGCUAAGUCCAGAGCUCAGCCUGGCUUGAUCCCUAUGCUCAUAAAACUUUUCAUGAACUUUUUUUUUUUGCAAUGAUAUGAAUCUGACUGGUAUGCCAAUAUCUGUCUAGUGCUUUACGGCUUACACACCAUCACGUUAUCUAAUUCUCACUAUAGACCUGGAAUGGUCAAAAUGCAAAUAUGACGUCUUCACUCUAUAAGAGGUUAGGUCACAGAGGCUGAACUGCUUGCCCAAGAUCCUUUGGCAGACACAGGACUUCCAGCUUCAAGUACUUUCCCAACGCUCAAGUUCCUGACCAUUGGAACCACCUGAGAGGGAAAAGGUGACUGUAUGGUCUCUUGAUAAUGUAUGCUAUUUUAGGACCCCUCACGUAUACAUAGAUCCUUAGAUAGCCUCACACAAUGAGUGGUUUUAUUGUAUGAUCGUUUUAAGUGUGUGUUACUGAAGAAAAAACACCCUUGGACUGAGGGGUUUUGAAACACAUUUGACACAUAGCUUCCUCUCUGUGUAAGAAUCACCCUGAGUCAUCAACUUUCCAGACUUAUUGUAAGGAUAAAUUGACACAUUAUUUUAUAGAGUAAUUUUGCCUUGGAAAGAGGACUUAAGAGAGUUAGACAGUAACAAGUUUUAAACAUUUCCCCAAAGCCAAGGUAUCACCCCUGAGGACCUAGAUGGUGGAAAAAAAGAGUCACUAAAGGUGGUACAAAUGAAGAGUUGAAUCUUCUGAAUCCAGAAAGUUAUGGUCUUUCCUGAUAAGUUACUGGCAAGAGACACUGAGGUUGACCCUAGCAUAGAAAGCAAGCAUGUAUGUAACUCCUGCCUUCUGUUGGGUAUCAUGCCCAAGCAGCUCUCUCUCGCUCACUUCUCUGUACCUGAUAGCUUCCCCUAGCAUGGGCGUGAUCGCAGGAUAAGGACCUCAUCUGAACACUGGCCCUUGUCUGCUUCCACUAAUGGAAGAGUCCACAGCCAAGGCUCUGGAGAGGCUGUGUGAUGCUAAGGAAGGUGCUUUCCAUUACAAACCACUUUCUCACUUGGUAUUGUUUUUCUUUGUUGUCCUUAUCGACAUCAUAGCCAAUAAUCACUCUUCACAGAUUUGUUGAAAUGACUACUAUGUGUCAGACUCUGAACUUAUGGAAUAUUAAAAAAUGUUCCAAUAUGGGGUUCCUAGGACCAGGGAGAUGGCCCAGUAAAUCAAGCCUGACAGCCUGAGUUUGAUCCCUGGAACCUAUACAAUGGAAGAAGAGAACUGACUUCCACAGUCAUCCUCUGUACCUCCAUAAGCAUGUCCUGGUGCACACAUAGACGCAUGCACGCACACACACAUACACACAAUGUUAAAAAUAAAAACAGAUGCUGCUCCUACUCUGAAGUUCACAGCCUAGCAGGCUUUGAAGCUUAUAAACGGAAGUGGUACAGGAUAGAUGCUAUUGCAAUAGGAAGUCAUGACCUGGUUUCUGCUUUCAGAGACUUUGGUUGAGAUGUAGCUCAGUCGAUAGAGUGCUUGUCUCCAAUGUCCUGGGUUCCAUCCCUAGUACCACAUAAAAAUUGAGCAUAGUUGUACAAACAUGCUUGUGGUCCUUGCAACUGAGCAUGCACAGGAAGGAAGAUUAAUAGUUUAGGGUCAUCCUUGGGCUGUUCUAGGAUACAUAAGACCCUGUUACAGAAAGAAAGAAAGAAGAGA